UGGGGAAUCAUAGUCAAUGGGCGAAAGCCUGAUCCAGCCAUGCCGCGUGCAGGAUGAAGGCCUUCGGGUUGUAAACUGCUUUUGUCCGGAACGAAAAGACUCUGUUUAAUACCUGGGGUCCAUGUCGGUACCGUAAGAAUAAGCACCGGCUAACUACGUGCCAGCAACCGCGGUAAUACGUAUGGUGCGAGCGUUAAUCGGAAUUACUGGGCGUAAAGCGUUCGGAGGCGGUUAUGUAAGACAGAUGUGAACUCCCCGGGAUGAACCUGGGAACUGCAUAUGUGACUGCAUAGCUAGAGUACGGCAGAGGGGGAUGGAAUUCCGAGUGUAGCAGUGAAAUGCGUAGCUAUCCGGAGGAACACCAGUGGCGAAAGCGGCCUCAUGGAUCAUUCCUGACACUCAGACGCGAAAGCUAGGGUAGCAAACG
rnacentral:rRNA from 1 species